GUAGAGGGAUGCCUAGGAAUCUGCCUAGUAGUGGGGGAUAACGUUUCGGAAACGGACGCUAAUACCGCAUACGUCCUACGGGAGAAAGUGGGGGACCUUCGGGCCUCACGCUAUUAGAUGAGCCUAGGUCGGAUUAGCUAGUUGGUGAGGUAAUGGCUCACCAAGGCGACGAUCCGUAACUGGUCUGAGAGGAUGAUCAGUCACACUGGAACUGAGACACGGUCCAGACUCCUACGGGAGGCAGCAGUGGGGAAUAUUGGACAAUGGGCGAAAGCCUGAUCCAGCCAUGCCGCGUGUGUGAAGAAGGUCUUCGGAUUGUAAAGCACUUUAAGUUGGGAGGAAGGGCAGUAACUUAAUACUUUGUUGUUUUGACGUUACCGACAGAAUAAGCACCGGCUAACUCUGUGCCAGCAGCCGCGGUAAUACAGAGGGUGCAAGCGUUAAUCGGAAUUACUGGGCGUAAAGCGCGCGUAGGCGGUUUGUUAAGUUGGAUGUGAAAGCCCCCGGGCUCAACCUGGGAAACUGCAUCCAAAACUGGCAAGCUAGAA
rnacentral:rRNA from 1 species